GGGUCGCUAGCUCAAUCGGUAGAGCAUCUGGCUCUUAACCAGAGGGUUCAGGGUUCAAGUCCCUGGCGACCCA
rnacentral:tRNA from 1 species